rnacentral:lncRNA from 1 species
UACUUAUACCCUAUAAGUAUAACUAAAAUUCCUAAUAGCUAUCUCAAAAUUUCCUCAAACUAUCUCUGUCUUCUGAGAACAGUUUCUUCUGCUUGGCAUGCCAGGCCUAGUCUAACCUACUUUACUAUAAAUUAUUCACUAACUCCUUAACUCCCUAACUCCCUAAAAUAACAGACAGUCACCACUCCUUCACUCCUUCAAUCAGAUUUCUAUAGCAGCCCAACUGUCAGCAGCCAACUGCCAGCAGCCCCUUGCUUCAGAGACAGACUUCCUGCUCUCUAGAGAUCCCAGAGGCAAAAGACCCCUAACUGUCAGAGGCUGCUUCCUUUCUUCCCUCACUGCCCAACUGUCCCCCCUAACUUCCUGUCAGAGGGCAGGCUACUUCUUCUCCUCAGACCUGGUCUCCCUGGUAACAGAAUCUUCAGCUCUGGCUCACUGACUCCUAUCUGUUCUGAUCUACUUAGAAACCUUAUUCUCCAGUCUCUUUAGGAGACAGAGGGAGAGAUGAAGAAAAUCCCUUUAACAAUAUACUCCAAGAAGGCAGGUAACUGGCACAGUGAAUGGAACACUGAACCUAGAGGGAGAAUGACUCUUCUUGAGUUCAAAUCUGGCCUCCAACACUGUGUGCUUCCAGUUCUACAUAUACUGCAUACUACAAAACUAUAUAUGAAGUUACUAUUGCCCUUUGUGGUGAAAACACUGAUGACUCCUUCAUUCUCUUAAUUGGAGCCCAGAAGUUUAAGUUUGGGAGGAGCUAAGCCACUGUUUUCUAUGCUCUUGUGGAUUAUGUAGCCUCAUCUUUCACACCAGUUAUUUUUCAUUAUAUUUUUGUUAUAAUCUCAUAAAUUUCAUUUCUGUUCCUUGCUUUCUACCUUUUUCUCUGACUGGUAAGCAAAUCAAAACUAAUAAUGACACAGUAAAGGUGGUAUCAUUAAACUAUCCUAAUUUUCUUUGUGAAACCCAAAUCCAUAACUCCCUUCCCUCAACACUAUUUCCCAUUAUCUUUUACCCUUAAAAUAAUAGAAAAUGGCUCCAUUUACUCUGUUUUC